rnacentral:rRNA from 1 species
GCAUGUAAAAAGAUUCUUCGACGCACCCGAUCCCAUCUGAUCUCAGAAGCUAAGCAGGGUUAGGCCUGGUUAGGACUUGGAUGGGAGACCACCGGGGAAUGCCAGGUGCUGUAGGCU